UACCAGCACCCCGAGUGGUCGGGACGUUAUUGGGCCUAAAGCAUCCGUAGCCGGUUCUACAAGUCUUCCGUUAAAAUCCACCUGCUUAACAGAUGGGCUGCGGAAGAUACUAUAGAGCUAGGAGGCGGGAGAGGCAAGCGGUACUCGAUGGGUAGGGGUAAAAUCCGUUGAUCCAUUGAAGACCACCAGUGGCGAAGGCGGCUUGCCAGAACGCGCUCGACGGUGAGGGAUGAAAGCUGGGGGAGCAAACCGG
rnacentral:rRNA from 1 species